GACGAACGCUGGCGGCGUGCUUAACACAUGCAAGUCGAACGGAAAGGCCCUGCUUUUGUGGGGUGCUCGAGUGGCGAACGGGUGAGUAACACGUGAGUAACCUGCCCUUGACUUUGGGAUAACUUCAGGAAACUGGGGCUAAUACCGGAUAGGAGCUCCUGCUGCAUGGUGGGGGUUGGAAAGUUUCGGCGGUUGGGGAUGGACUCGGGGCUUAUCAGCUUGUUGGUGGGGUAGUGGCUUACCAAGGCUUUGACGGGUAGCCGGCCUGAGCGGGUGACCGGCCACAUUGGGACUGAGAUACGGCCCAGACUCCUACGGGAGGCAGCAGUGGGGAAUAUUGCACAAUGGGCGGAAGCCUGAUGCAGCAACGCCGCGUGCGGGAUGACGGCCUUCGGGUUGUAAACCGCUUUCGCCUGUGACGAAGCGUGAGUGACGGUAAUGGGUAAAGAAGCACCGGCUAACUACGUG
rnacentral:rRNA from 1 species